AGUCGAGCGAAUGGAUUAAGAGCUUGCUCUUAUGAAGUUAGCGGCGGACGGGUGAGUAACACGUGGGUAACCUGCCCAUAAGACUGGGACCACUCCGGGAAACCGGGGCUAAUACCGGAUAACAUUUUGAACUGCAUGGUUCGAAAUUGAAAGGCGGCUUCGGCUGUCACUUAUGGAUGGACCCGCGUCGCAUUAGCUAGUUGGUGAGGUAACGGCUCACCAAGGCAACGAUGCGUAGCCGACCUGAGAGGGUGAUCGGCCACACUGGGACUGAGACACGGCCCACACUCCUACGGGAGGCAGCAGUAGGGAAUCUUCCGCAAUGGACGAAAGUCUGACGGAGCAACGCCGCGUGAGUGAUGAAGGCUUUCGGGUCGUAAAACUCUGUUGUUAGGGAAGAACAAGUGCUAGUUGAAUAAGCUGGCACCUUGACUGUACCUAACCAGAAAGCCACGGCUAACUACGUGCCAGCAGCCGCGGUAAUACGUAUGUGGCAAGCGUUAUCCGGAAUUA
rnacentral:rRNA from 1 species